UCUGUCCUUUUCCCAGAACAAUUUGUCAGAGGAAACAGACUAGCUCGAGCAAACAGGUUUCACUUAAAAUAUGAAUCAUCUUGGACCUCAGCCUAAUUCAUAACUAAAUAAAUCUGGCUGUUUGUGUUAAGCUAUGGUUUUAAAUAAAAAAGGCAGAAACCUUUGACUUUCUAGAUGGAAGAGUAGAUUAUAACAGCUGCGGCAGUUCUGGUGAUUAAUUGGAACCAGUGGUGAUGGAUUUGGGCUAGGAAGGCCUCCACGUAGGAGGCAAUGAGCAAAGGAUGCCUGAACUGACUCAUUUGUUCAACAAAGGCUUCUUGAGUGCCUACCACGUGGUGGGCUCCAGAGUCCCAGUCAUGGACAAAACUGGCCAUGUUCUCCAUACAUUCCAGAAGCCAAAGAGGGGAGGUAUUUUUCAGUGGUAAUAAGAGCUAGAAAAGACCCUGAGAACUGGGAAAGAGAGAGUGACUGGGGGCUAGGGAGUGGCUUCUUUAGAGAGGAUGGUCUCUUCUUUAGAGAGGAUGUCAGUCUCUGCAAGACUGACAUUCAAGCUAAGACUAAACGUGAAGAAGAAAGAUCCAGGGAAAGAACAGUAGAUGUGAGAUAGGCUGGGACCUGGCACCCUUUGCUGCAGUGCUUGGACCUGGACACAUCUCUUCUCCAGCAACAAAAUACAGAGAAACUAUAUGGGACUAAAACUAACUAGCAGUUGGGGCAAAUUCUGAACCCAAAAGAGACAAAGGGACCAAAAACCCCAACUGCCACUUCUGAAGAGUCUGUAGCAAAACAAAACAAAACAAAACAAAAAAAAACCAGUGCUGGAAGCAAAAGCAGGGUACUGAGCAUGCCCCCUGCACACAACAGCACCUAAGGGAUGGGCAAAACACCCAAGCCACCCCUCCAGCCCGACCCCUGGACACAAUCUGAGCCUCACCCCAUAUAAGGAACAAGCUUGUCCCCCCUCGGGGAGACGCGUACAAGCAAGGCCGUCUGCUGCAGCAGGGGUACAGUGAAGCCUUGCUUGAAUUUCUUGUCAUGCCUGUAAUCAAUUUCUAUUGAUUAAGGAGGCCAAGAGCCCUGGUCCAUAACCAGCAAAUCCUAGAGACCGAAAGGAACUUGGCAUGUUUGAGGAACAGGAAAAGGGCCACUUUUCGUGUUGGGGCUGGACCAAGUGAACAAGAUGGAGGAGAAGCUGAAAAAGUAAAUGGGACCCUCGGGAAGUGGGGCAGGCAUCAUUACUGCUGCUGCAACUGCAGAGAAGCAACCCCACGUUAACAUUCCUGAGGGGAGAAAUCUUUGGUUUUGUGGGUGACUGCCAGGCUCUGCCUUACACACUAACACAAUCACUGUGAGCUGCUGAAACCAGGGAACCACGUUUUAUUCAUCUACCCCUUCCUUGGUCCAGUUACCACACCUGGCAAGUGCAGCAUCACUAAUUGAGGAGGAAGGCAAAACGCAGAGAUAGAGAGUAAGGGAGGGGUUCUGAUAUCUAAAACUGGGAGAGGGAAGCUAAGACCAGGGUUCUGAUAUCUAAAACUGGGAGAGGGAAGCUAAGACCAGUCUGUUUAGACUUGCCACAGAACAGCAAAGGGACAUGACUCCCCUCAAUCUACUUAAAGAAAACCACAAACCAAAAAUGUACGAAAGUCCAUAACCAGAGGAGGUGGUCUGUGACUUGAAACGGGUUUCAUCUCGCUUCUGCUCAUCCCCAGCACUGCCAGAUGUCAGGAAUCUGAGAAGUGAACAGCUCUGAACCCCAGUGGCCCAGUGCAAGGACCUAGAAACCAGACACCGCCUGACUUGGAAUUCCCUACUCCAGCACUUGGAUGAGCUCCCACAUUUCUGAGUCUUAAUACUCUAAUUUGCAAAAUGAGACUCAUACCCUGGAAAAUCUUGAACAAUAGCAUAGGGUGGUACUGUGAGAAUUCAAGGAGAGGAAGUGUGGAAAGCACCUAGAACUGUGGCUGGGCACUCUCAGAAUUAAAUCAUUUUCUGUCUUCCUUUCCUUUCUGCCAUCCUAUUAUUUCGGUCUCUCCUUUCCCAGUUAUGCAUUUGGCCUCACUCAACAAGGAAAUCCUCAAACGCCACUGAAAGUUUUCAGCUGACAUUGCAGGGUAUUUGGUUUCUGAACAGGGCAGAUCAACAUGAUACUCAAAUUUGACUUCUUUCUGGAUUCAUUUGUCUAGCUCUAGAAUAUGAGACACCCAAUAACAUAUGCCAACUGUAUAUGAUAAUUCUUUUACCAAGAGAAAAUUGCUUCUUUGUAAAUGAUCUUGGGGGGGUUAUCUUUUUGUUAUGAUUAAAAUUUUAAAUACAA